GCACCACGCACGUCGGUGCUGCGCCAGGAACUACAAAUGAGUGCUCCGCGAGACCAAACGCGAACCCCGUGCACCACGACACGACCGGCCAGAGACUGUUGACUGUGUUGCACUAUAGUUCACAUUAAUUAAUCACCUAGGAUAAGAGUGUUUCGAACUGUACCGGUUUGUGGCUAAUAUGUUCGAGUGUUGAUGUCUGACUGAGCGACUGGACUGGAAAGUAUCGAGUUCGAAUCCUUGCAACUGACUUCACACGAAGAGUCUGACCGACCAAGUUCAGAAACUAAACUUUUGGAGACAUCGCUAAACUAAGGCGCGGAGAUGUCGCGUUGGCGCGGCUUCGAUGGCGCGGGGUGAACGCGCGUCGCGGCUAGGCGCCGAUGCGCGCCUGGCUCGUCGUGUGUGCGGCGCUCGCGCUGGCGCCCUGCCGAGCGACCGCUGCGCACUCCCACCAGGAC